rnacentral:rRNA from 1 species
AGAGUUUGAUCCUGGCUCAGGAUAAACGCUGGCGGCGUGCUAUAUGCAUGCAAGUCGAACGGUUUUGAUUUAUCAAGAUAGUGGCAAACGGGUGAGUAACACGUAAGUAACCUGCCCUUAAGUGGGGAAUAACCCCGGGAAACCGGAGCUAAUACCGCAUGUGGUGGUGGAGGUAAAGCUUCAUCAUUAAAGCCUUCGGGCGCUUAGGGAUGGGCUUGCGUCUGAUUAGCUAGUUGGUAGAGUAACGGUCUACCAAGGCUACGAUCAGUAGCUGGUCUGAGAGGAUGGUCAGCCACACUGGGACUGAGACACGGCCCAGACUCCUACGGGAGGCAGCAGCAAGGAAUUUUGUGCAAUGGGCGAAAGCCUGACACAGCGACGCCGCGUGGGGGAUGAAGGUUUUCGGAUUGUAAACCCCUUUUCCCAGGGAGGAAUAAUGACAGUACCUGGGGAAUAAGCCAUGGCUAACUACGUGCCAGCAGCCGCGGUAAUACGUAGGUGGCGAGCGUUAUCCGGAUUUACUGGGCGUAAAGUGGGUGCAGACGGUUUCUCAAGUCGGAUGUAAAAUCUCUCAGCUUAACUGAGAGCGACCAUUCGAGACUGUUAAACUAGAGGACAACAGGGGGAGGUAGAAUUCCCGGUGUAGUGGUGGAAUGCGUAGAUAUCGGGAGGAAUACCAGUGGCGAAGGCGGCCUCCUGGGUUGUUUCUGACGUUCAUGCCCGAAGGUGUGGGGAGCAAACAGGAUUAGAUACCCUGGUAGUCCACACUGUAAACGAUGAACACUAGGUAUAGGGAGUAUCGACCCUCUCUGUGCCAAAGCUAACGCGUUAAGUGUUCCGUCUGGGGAGUACGACCGCAAGGUUAAAACUCAAAGGAAUUGACGGGGGCCCGCACAAGCAGCGGAGCGUGUGGUUUAAUUCGAUGCAAGCGAAGAACCUUACCAAGGCUUGAACAUGACGGAAGUAGCGACCCGAAAGGGAGUCACCUGUUAAGUCAGGAACCGCCACAGGUGCUGCAUGCUGUUCGUAGCUCGUGCCCGUGAGGGUUGGUUAAGUUCCUGCACGGAGCCGCACCCUGUUGUCAGUGUUUUUCUCUUGGCGAGACUGCCCCGCACACUGGAGAGUGGGAUGACGUCAAGUUCAGCCCGACCUUAUGCUUGGCUACAAAACGCAUACAAU